rnacentral:rRNA from 1 species
UACGUAGGGACCAAGCGUUGUUCGGAUUUACUGGGCGUAAAGAGCUCGUAGGUGGUUUGUCGCGUUGUUCGUGAAAACUCACAGCUCAACUGUGGGCGUGCGGGCGAUACGGGCAGACUAGAGUACUGCAGGGGAGACUGGAAUUCCUGGUGUAGCGGUGGAAUGCGCAGAUAUCAGGAGGAACACCGGUGGCGAAGGCGGGUCUCUGGGCAGUAACUGACGCUGAGGAGCGAAAGCGUGGGGAGCGAACAGG